AGAGUUUGAUCCUGGCUCAGAGUGAACGCUGGCGGCGUGCCUAAUACAUGCAAGUCGAACGGACAAGUAAGAGCUUGCUCUUAUGAGUUAGUGGCGCACGGGUGAGUAAUGUAUAGUUAAUCUGCCCUACACUGGAGGACAACAGUUAGAAAUGACUGCUAAUACUCCAUACUCCUUCUUAACACAAGUUAAGUCGGGAAAGUUUUUUCGGUGUAGGAUGAGACUAUAUUGUAUCAGCUAGUUGGUGAGGUAAUGGCUCACCAAGGCUAUGACGCAUAACUGGUCUGAGAGGAUGAUCAGUCACACUGGAACUGAGACACGGUCCAGACUCCUACGGGAGGCAGCAGUAGGGAAUAUUGCUCAAUGGGGGAAACCCUGAAGCAGCAACGCCGCGUGGAGGAUGACACUUUUCGGAGCGUAAACUCCUUUUGUUAGGGAAGAACAAUGACGGUACCUAACGAAUAAGCACCGGCUAACUCCGUGCCAGCAGCCGCGGUAAUACGGAGGGUGCAAGCGUUACUCGGAAUCACUGGGCGUAAAGGACGCGUAGGCGGAUUAUCAAGUCUUUUGUGAAAUCUAAUGGCUCAACCAUUAAACUGCUUGAGAAACUGAUAAUCUAGAGUGAGGGAGAGGCAGAUGGAAUUGGUGGUGUAGGGGUAAAAUCCGUAGAGAUCACCAGGAAUACCCAUUGCGAGGGCGAUCUGCUGGAACUUAACUGACGCUAAUGCGUGAAAGCGUGGGGAGCAAACAGGAUUAGAUACCCUGGUAGUCCACGCCCUAAACGAUGUAUACUAGUUGUUGCUGUGCUAGUCAUGGCAGUAAUGCACCUAACGGAUUAAGUAUACCGCCUGGGGAGUACGGUCGCAAGAUUAAAACUCAAAGGAAUAGACGGGGACCCGCACAAGCGGUGGAGCAUGUGGUUUAAUUCGAAGAUACGCGAAGAACCUUACCUGGGCUUGAUAUCCUAAGAACCUUGUAGAGAUACGAGGGUGCUAGCUUGCUAGAACUUAGUGACAGGUGCUGCACGGCUGUCGUCAGCUCGUGUCGUGAGAUGUUCGGUUAAGUCCGGCAACGAGCGCAACUCACGUAUUUAGUUGCUAACAGUUCGGCUGAGCACUCUAAAUAUACUGCCUUCGUAAGGAGGAGGAAGGUGUGGACGACGUCAAGUCAUCAUGGCCCUUAUGCCCAGGGCGACACACGUGCUACAAUGGCAUAUACAAUGAGACGCAAUAUCGCGAGAUGGAGCAAAUCUAUAAAAUAUGUCCCAGUUCGGAUUGUUCUCUGCAACUCGAGAGCAUGAAGCCGGAAUCGCUAGUAAUCGUAGAUCAGCCAUGCUACGGUGAAUACGUUCCCGGGUCUUGUACACACCGCCCGUCA
rnacentral:rRNA from 1 species